CGGCGGACGGGUGAGUAACACGUGGGUAACCUACCUAUAAGACUGGGACAACUUCGGGAAACCGGAGCUAAUACCGGAUAAGAUAUCGAACCGCAUGGUUCGAUAGUGAAAGAUGGUUUUGCUAUCACUUAUAGAUGGACCCGCGCCGUAUUAGCUAGUUGGUGAGGUAACGGCUCACCAAGGCAACGAUACGUAGCCGACCUGAGAGGGCGAUCGGCCACACUGGAACUGAGACACGGUCCAGACUCCUACGGGAGGCAGCAGGA
rnacentral:rRNA from 1 species